ensembl:lncRNA
CAGGGGGCAAGGAUCGAGCAUAGCUGCAAGCUGUCACACUCUUGACUUAAAGAGACAGUGUGCUAAUUCCACAUAAACACAUAGACAGCCAGUCAAAGACCAGCUACUAUAUCUGGGCAGCAAGUCUGAAGGAAAUGAAGCACCACUGUUAUAUGAAAGCAUACACACACAUUACAGUUUUAAGUCUUUUCUUUUGUGGAAUAGGACGACAAAAGAGUGGGGAACAAUGAGAGGAGGUGAUGGCUACCUUGGAGAAAAGAAAUGAAUGAAAGGAGAAGAGAAGGAGAAAGAGAACAGAGGCAGUGAUAAUGUGAUGGACAGGUGAAGGCAGGCAGGGAAAUGGAUGAGCAAACGCUGUAAACAUUUUCCACUGGCCUCUGUGUUAGUGUCGUUGUGUAGGGAAUAUUAAAGGAAUACAAAAUUUGGAUAUGCAUAAGGUUACUUGCAUGAAAGUAGCAGAUGGCCAUACAAUAACCUUGUCUUUUUUUUUUUUUAAUUGCUGAUUUUUUUUUUAAGUUAACAUCAUUCAAAUAAAGCCAGAGAGAGAAUCUGUACCACAACAGCCAUAUUUCUUGGCUUUAUCACAGCACAAGGUCAUUAAUAUGUCCUUCACUUUUAAGUCCCAGCAUCCCCACUGAGAUAGACUAAACAUUCACGUCACACCAACAUCUUUUAACCACCUGACGCACACAGCUGUGCAUGUCCAGAUACUGCUCCCUACCCACACACCAUAGAAGAGCAAAGAGUAUCUGUGGAUGCCUGAUAGCUCACUGUCAGUCAGAGCCCCGUGGCAGGAAAGUGGCUGAUUGCAUGUGCAAGGAUGGGGGGUGGGACUACAGCUAUUUAAAACUGUACGUGUCCAUCUCUCUAGUCUUCAGCAGUGCCUGAACCGGCACCACUACCACUUUCUUUGAUUUUCCUUUUUUCCACAGAAAGCAUCCCACUCCCUACUGUGGCUCGGUAAAGCAGAUGAACAGGCCUCUGUUCUUGGGUUCAGACAAAUUAUGUAACAUCACCAUUGGUUGAGAAGGAGCACUAUCUGGGUCUGAGGCUACUGUACUCACUGUCCUUGAUCUGUAUGCAUGACUUGCUCGCCUGGGAUUACAGACCUCAAACCAGGCAGUAGAACUAUCAGUGCUGAUGAAGAUUCCAGAGGUGGGACCAAGUCAUUGUUUUGCAAGUCUCAAGUAAGUCUCAAGUCUUUAUCCUCAAGUCUCAAGUCAAGUCUCAAGUAAUGUCAGGCAAGUCAGAGUCGAGUCUCAAGUCACUGGUGUAAAAGUCCGAGUCAAGUCACAAGUCUGAAAUUUUGAAUUUCAAGUCCUUUCGAGUCUUUAAAAAAAAAAACGAAAAAAUAAUGUUGCAGUUAUGCUAAAUGUAAAUAUUAGACAAUGUAAUUUUUAAAUCUGUGUUUUUCU